CAGUGGGCUUGUAGAGAACUGCAGUCCCUCUAUCUGCAUCUGGUAGGCAUCAAAGCGGAUCUGGAAGGAGGCCACUUAGCAACCCCAAAACUCCAAGCGUAGGAUGCGUGUCCAGAUGGGCAGAGGCGGAGCACUCCUUAAAACCCAAUAUGACCUCCUUGGUUUGAACUGGAGCGGGAUUUGUUUGGACCAUCCAAAAUAAAUAUGUAAGUACACUUUAUGA